rnacentral:rRNA from 1 species
UACGAAGGGGGCUAGCGUUGUUCGGAAUCACUGGGCGUAAAGCGCACGUAGGCGGAUUGUUAAGUCGGGGGUGAAAUGCCAAGGCUCAACCUUGGAACUGCCUCCGAUACUGGCAAUCUCGAGUCCGGGAGAGGUGAGUGGAACUCCGAGUGUAGAGGUGAAAUUCGUAGAUAUUCGGAAGAACACCAGUGGCGAAGGCGGCUCACUGGCCCGGUACUGACGCUGAGGUGCGAAAGCGUGGGGAGCAAACAGG